AGAGUUUGAUCAUGGCUCAGAUUGAACGCUGGCGGCAGGCCUAACACAUGCAAGUCGAGCGGUAGCACAGAGAGCUUGCUCUCGGGUGACGAGCGGCGGACGGGUGAGUAAUGUCUGGGAAACUGCCUGAUGGAGGGGGAUAACUACUGGAAACGGUAGCUAAUACCGCAUAACGUCGCAAGACCAAAGUGGGGGACCUUCGGGCCUCAUGCCAUCAGAUGUGCCCAGAUGGGAUUAGCUAGUAGGUGGGGUAACGGCUCACCUAGGCGACGAUCCCUAGCUGGUCUGAGAGGAUGACCAGCCACACUGGAACUGAGACACGGUCCAGACUCCUACGGGAGGCAGCAGUGGGGAAUAUUGCACAAUGGGCGCAAGCCUGAUGCAGCCAUGCCGCGUGUGUGAAGAAGGCCUUCGGGUUGUAAAGCACUUUCAGCGGGGAGGAAGGCGUUAAGGUUAAUAACCUUGUCGAUUGACGUUACCCGCAGAAGAAGCACCGGCUAACUCCGUGCCAGCAGCCGCGGUAAUACGGAGGGUGCAAGCGUUAAUCGGAAUUACUGGGCGUAAAGCGCACGCAGGCGGUCUGUCAAGUCGGAUGUGAAAUCCCCGGGCUCAACCUGGGAACUGCAUUCGAAACUGGCAGGCUAGAGUCUUGUAGAGGGGGGUAGAAUUCCAGGUGUAGCGGUGAAAUGCGUAGAGAUCUGGAGGAAUACCGGUGGCGAAGGCGGCCCCCUGGACAAAGACUGACGCUCAGGUGCGAAAGCGUGGGGAGCAAACAGGAUUAGAUACCCUGGUAGUCCACGCCGUAAACGAUGUCGAUUUGGAGGUUGUGCCCUUGAGGCGUGGCUUCCGGAGCUAACGCGUUAAAUCGACCGCCUGGGGAGUACGGCCGCAAGGUUAAAACUCAAAUGAAUUGACGGGGGCCCGCACAAGCGGUGGAGCAUGUGGUUUAAUUCGAUGCAACGCGAAGAACCUUACCUGGUCUUGACAUCCACAGAACUUAGCAGAGAUGCUUUGGUGCCUUCGGGAACUGUGAGACAGGUGCUGCAUGGCUGUCGUCAGCUCGUGUUGUGAAAUGUUGGGUUAAGUCCCGCAACGAGCGCAACCCUUAUCCUUUGUUGCCAGCGGUCCGGCCGGGAACUCAAAGGAGACUGCCAGUGAUAAACUGGAGGAAGGUGGGGAUGACGUCAAGUCAUCAUGGCCCUUACGACCAGGGCUACACACGUGCUACAAUGGCAUAUACAAAGAGAAGCGACCUCGCGAGAGCAAGCGGACCUCAUAAAGUAUGUCGUAGUCCGGAUUGGAGUCUGCAACUCGACUCCAUGAAGUCGGAAUCGCUAGUAAUCGUAGAUCAGAAUGCUACGGUGAAUACGUUCCCGGGCCUUGUACACACCGCCCGUCACACCAUGGGAGUGGGUUGCAAAAGAAGUAGGUAGCUUAACCUUCGGGAGGGCGCUUACCACUUUGUGAUUCAUGACUGGGGUGAAGUCGUAACAAGGUAACCGUAGGGGAACCUGCGGUUGGAUCACCU
rnacentral:rRNA from 1 species